rnacentral:lncRNA from 1 species
CCCCCUCCCCCUAUGGCAGCCAUCAUCCAUUGCUUCCUCCCCCAAGAUCUCCCCCUACGCAGCAAGGAUCGAGAAAAGGAGGGGCACGUUGAAUUGAAGAGGAAGAGAGGAUCAAGGAGAUGUUCUUCCCCAUCUCUUCUUGAAGAUUUCUUGGGGAAACCCUAGGUAUGGAUGAGAUCCUUGUUCCUCCCUGUAAUUAUAGGCUUUUGGAGGUUGUGGAUCAUGGGAAUUAAAGGAUUAGAGGUUGGAUUUGAUGUGGGGUUAGGUUUUGAUCCCGAAUUUAGUUUUCUGCAGAAUGGCAGAUUCAACAGUUUCUGUUCAUGCCAGUUUUCCGUGGUCUUAGUGGCCUCAAAAAAAUGAAAAGUCUAUGUAUGAGUCGUAGAUGAUUUGUAGAUCUUUCCGUGGCCGUGAAGAACACCUCAAUCGGACAUCCGACCAGAAAGUUAUUGCAGUUUUACUAUAGCAGUUUUUCAGUCUCAUAAUUCUGUGCAGAAUCUGUUCUCUUAAGAUUUAGGAAAUUUUAUCAACAGAAUUAAACUGUGGGUUGGUAAAAGAAGUUGUAGAUAAUUUCAUAAGCUUUCCAGAUUGUUAAAGAGUGCAUUCAUAUGAUUUGUGAAACUCCAGUUAUGUUUGUUUUACUGUGGCUGUUUCUGUUUACCUGACAAAAAUGAGUGGGUCUGUUCACUGGUGGGUUUCAUCUAGUAAAUGGCCGAAUUGGCUCUUCCAACUAUGGAGACUUUUGUAGAGGGAUAAAAGUUCUUACUUCCAGCAGAAUUUCAUAAUUUUUGGUUCAGUAGUUUGGGAGAUAUCAAAUUUUAAAGUUAACCAUACUGCUGUCUAAAACAGAUUCAGUCAGUUAUCUUGUCAGAUGUUUUAGAACUUGUAGAUGGCAGAAUUUAAUUAUCUAUUGAAUACUGAAGUUGUAGAGUAUUUUAUGUAGAUACUCCUAGAGUAUUUGUUUGAUAUCACCGCUGUUUUAAUUUUAAAGAUACAAAAUUAACAAACAGCGUUGCUGCUGUAUGGCAUGUGGUUCAGGGUGGGAGUCUUUCCACUGGGUCUUGGUUUCAAGUGUAGGAGUGUUUUGUUGAUUGAUGGCAAAUGUUUGUGAAAUAUUUGUACUAAGUUUUAUGCCCACUAGCAGGUGGCUACACUCCAGAUCAUGUCUAGUACAUUUCUUCUUCUUCGAUGAAGGCAAGUGAAUGUAGCGGUGGUUGCUUCCGUUCUGACCUGUUAUUUCUAUUGCCUACACUCUAAUAUUCAGAAGUAUCAGAUUCUUUCAUAAUUGGACUCUAUGGUGAUGCUUUACUUGCUUGCAUUAUACUGAUGCUCAAUCAUAUAUUGAUGAUGAUUAUGAUUUGAGUAUGACUCACGAGAUUAAUUCACAUAUCUGAAGGUAAAUGAAGUAUUAUUUGAGGUUGGUAUUGUAUCUGAAGAUAAAUGAAGUAUUAUUUGAGGUUUGUAUUGUAUCUGAAGGAAGUGAAGUUUAUUGAUAAAUGUAGCAUGCCAUAUACAUUGCAUGACUCAUUUGCAUAUGAAGUUUUGUCGUGACCUAUGGUCCGACCGUACCGGUACAACUUAGCAUCGUACGUUGCCCGAGAAGGGGUACGAUGCGGCUUCAUACCCUUAGAGGUAUGAAGGCAGAGGACAUAUGCAUUGCAUUCAUAUGCAUUCAUUGAAGUGAUAUUUGCAGAUGAUGUGGUUUUAUACCCCCAGAGGUAUGAAGAUAGAGUACCUACGCAUUGCAUUCAUAUGCAUUCAUUGAAGUGAUAUUUGCAGAUGAUGUGGUUUUAUACCCCCAGAGGUAUGAAGAUAGAGUACCUACACAUUGCAUUCCUAUGCAUACAUUGAAGUGAUAUUUGCAGGUAUUGUUGACGCAGGGAAGUGUUAUAGAACCUAUUGUGGUUGUUCGAGGAAAUGAGAUGGUAUUGGUUAUAGUGGGACUACUGUGUUCUAUAUCUACAAGUAUUUCUGAUUUUUUAUUGUGUCUCUUUUAAAAUGUUGAUGAAUUCAAUUUGUGGUUUAAAUAUCUCAUCAGAACAAUUAGCUUGCUGAGAUGUUUCAUCUCACUCUUGCAUUACUCAAUGCAGGUGGUUGUUGCUCAUCAAGGGGAGUGGGAAGUAGCAGCACAUCCACCUUCACUCUCAUAAUAAUGCUGCCCAGACACAGCCAUGAUUUAAUUAGAAACUUCUUGUCAAAGGAUGUUUGUUUUUAACUAGUCGUGCGCACUGAUUAAUUCAGUUCAUUGUUGUUAUGGUUGUCUUCCCAUUGCUAGUAGAUUAUUAAUGUCUUAUAUGUUUUCUUAUCAUGAUAUCUAUUUAUACUUUGUUGCUUCCCCCGUUUAUGCAAUUUUCAAAGGAGAUGCUGUCGAAAUUUUAUAUAUGAAUGUUAGAUGUGUAGUUUAGUAGCAUUCUGGGGUGUUUGUGGAUCCCGGGGUGUUACAGUUGGUAUCAGAGCAUAGGCUUCAGAUUCUUGGCAAUUUGAAGAUAAAUUUGACACACUUGCACAUAUAGGAAGGGUAUGGGUUCAAAUAUCUUUGAUAUAUAUUAAUGUCUUUGGAGUGCAGAUGACAAUAGUUUCACCCCUCCCUAUUCCUUUACGGUGAUGUGGUAAGUUGUUUAUGGCUUAAUGCUUGAUAUAAUUUAUUUCUGAAAUUUUGAUAUUGUUUUAUUAAUGCGGUAGAUAUCGCUGGUCAUUGGUGAGAAUGAAGUUGUUAUUAUGCUUGUGAUAUACAAGUAUGCCUAUGUCGUUUUCACCAUGUUUUUCAUGGUUGAGUUUUAUUACAAUAAUAUUGUUAUAUAUGCUUGAUUGUGGAUGUUUCUAAGAGGAGUGUGAAUUGCGUGUUUUGGGGUACAAGGUAAUCAUCAAUUUGAAUUUAAGUUGUUGAGCGGUUGGUGGAUAGCUCCAACUAUCAUUGCAAAGAAUGAUUGUUUAUGUUGAGAAACCAGUUUUGAAAGAAAUGAAUAUUGGUACUUUAUAUGGAUUUUUGGGGGAAGUCUUUUCAUAGCCAGAAUGGCUUACAUGUCUCUCUCAUAUUGUGUGUUCUAGUUGCCACAAAGCCUAGAUGUGGUUUAAAGUGGUUGCCUAUUAGUCAUACUAAUUGUAGAAUAAAUCUUUGAUUCUCUUGAUCCAUUGAUUAUGUAUUGAUACAUUGAGGAUCUGAUGGUUCCCUUUUCGAUGCAUGCUUGUGGAGCCAUUUUUUAGACCACCUAUCUAUUGGUUUGAAGGAAGUCCUUGCCUAGCCUAGAGUUGGUUGGGUAUGGCUAGUCACCUACUCCUAGAUGAUGUGGUGUUUACAUCAGCUUAAUAUGUUUGUCAAAUGUGUGAAGGAUUAGGGGUUAUUAUUAUUGACUUUGUAUGUCUGGUACUUUGAGUGCAUCGUAUGAUAGAAUGAAAUGUAAGUUUCUGAACUACAGUAGAUGAAGACUUAUAUUAUGUGUAGGUUAUCCUUACUAGUUGGAUAUUUUUCUUAGUUGAGAUGUUGAAUGAAGUAUAGUGACAUGGGUUAAGCAAGUAUUGUGUUGUUGUUGGGCUAUCAGUGCUCUAUGUAGAGUUUUUGGCAUUUCUUCGAUGAACUAUGCCGCACAAGAUGUUAUUGGCUUCUUUUGGCUUUAUUGCUCCAUUAGUUCUAUAGAUUUUCUCCCUUUUGGUGGGGUGUAAGGAAUGUUAGAUUACAUGAUUAUCUUUUCAUGAUGGCAAGAAUAAGGUUUAGAAAGAUUAGGAGUUUUGUUCCAAUAGAACUACUUGUUUCAUGGUGCUUUAAGGUGAGGUGUUUGAUCUUCUUAUACAUUCGUCGGGUGUAGAUGUUUCACCAUUUAAUUAAAAUUAAUGGUUGAAGUUGGUAAGGGUUGUGCUUGGUCCAUAUUACCCCUUCAUAAAAGAGUGUUGUCUUAAGACAUUGAUGUUGAUGUAUAGCUGCAUCCAAAUUUGAUGUUGUGAAAUUGUAGUGUUGAUUGCAACUAUGACAUGCUUUGAGCUUCAUUACAUGUUGUUUCAUGCUUGAUGUCAGGUCGUGUAGUUUCCUUAGACAAUUAGUCCAAGGUAGAAGUUCUUGUGUUAAUUAAGACCAAUAAUGGAUCCAUGUUUUGAAUUGUGGUGCUAUAUGGGGUACCUUGGGUGUUUUGCUUGGAGUGGCCGAAUUCGAGGUCGAAUUCUUUUUAAGGGGGGUAGAGUGUAAUAUCCCAAAAAAAUGUUGACCAAAAGUUAAUCUCUGGUGCGUGGAUGAGGUAAAGGGUUGUGGGCCAUUGGAUGCAAAGAUAGAAGUCAUCUGAGGCGUCGUUUCUUUCUCCCACAAAAACCCUAGGUGGCCACCCCUUUUUUUUCCCUUCACCCCCCUCUUGGCCGCCACCCCCUUUUCUCCCCCUUGGCUGGACGCCCCCUCCCCCUAUGGCAGCCAUCAUCCAUUGCUUCCUCCCCCAAGAUCUCCCCCUACGCAGCAAGGAUCGAGAAAAGGAGGGGCAAGUUGAAUUGAAGAGGAAGAGAGGAUCAAGGAGAUGUUCUUCCCCAUCUCUUCUUGAAGAUUUCUUGGGGAAACCCUAGGUAUGGAUGAGAUCCUUGUUCCUCCCUGUAAUUAUAGGCUUUUGGAGGUUGUGGAUCAUGGGAAUUAAAGGAUUAGAGGUUGGAUUUGAUGUGGGGUUAGGUUUUGAUCCCGAAUUUAGUUUUCUGCAGAAUGGCAGAUUCAACAGUUUCUGUUCAUGCCAGUUUUCCGUGGUCUUAGUGGCCUCAAAAAAAUGAAAAGUCUAUGUAUGAGUCGUAGAUGAUUUGUAGAUCUUUCCGUGGCCGUGAAGAACACCUCAAUCGGACAUCCGACCAGAAAGUUAUUGCAGUUUUACUAUAGCAGUUUUUCAGUCUCAUAAUUCUGUGCAGAAUCUGUUCUCUUAAGAUUUAGGAAAUUUUAUCAACAGAAUUAAACUGUGGGUUGGUAAAAGAAGUUGUAGAUAAUUUCAUAAGCUUUCCAGAUUGUUAAAGAGUGCAUUCAUAUGAUUUGUGAAACUCCAGUUAUGUUUGUUUUACUGUGGCUGUUUCUGUUUACCUGACAAAAAUGAGUGGGUCUGUUCACUGGUGGGUUUCAUCUAGUAAAUGGCCGAAUUGGCUCUUCCAACUAUGGAGACUUUUGUAGAGGGAUAAAAGUUCUUACUUCCAGCAGAAUUUCAUAAUUUUUGGUUCAGUAGUUUGGGAGAUAUCAAAUUUUAAAGUUAACCAUACUGCUGUCUAAAACAGAUUCAGUCAGUUAUCUUGUCAGAUGUUUUAGAACUUGUAGAUGGCAGAAUUUAAUUAUCUAUUGAAUACUGAAGUUGUAGAGUAUUUUAUGUAGAUACUCCUAGAGUAUUUGUUUGAUAUCACCGCUGUUUUAAUUUUAAAGAUACAAAAUUAACAAACAGCGUUGCUGCUGUAUGGCAUGUGGUUCAGGGUGGGAGUCUUUCCACUGGGUCUUGGUUUCAAGUGUAGGAGUGUUUUGUUGAUUGAUGGCAAAUGUUUGUGAAAUAUUUGUACUAAGUUUUAUGCCCACUAGCAGGUGGCUACACUCCAGAUCAUGUCUAGUACAUUUCUUCUUCUUCGAUGAAGGCAAGUGAAUGUAGCGGUGGUUGCUUCCGUUCUGACCUGUUAUUUCUAUUGCCUACACUCUAAUAUUCAGAAGUAUCAGAUUCUUUCAUAAUUGGACUCUAUGGUGAUGCUUUACUUGCUUGCAUUAUACUGAUGCUCAAUCAUAUAUUGAUGAUGAUUAUGAUUUGAGUAUGACUCACGAGAUUAAUUCACAUAUCUGAAGGUAAAUGAAGUAUUAUUUGAGGUUGGUAUUGUAUCUGAAGAUAAAUGAAGUAUUAUUUGAGGUUUGUAUUGUAUCUGAAGGAAGUGAAGUUUAUUGAUAAAUGUAGCAUGCCAUAUACAUUGCAUGACUCAUUUGCAUAUGAAGUUUUGUCGUGACCUAUGGUCCGACCGUACCGGUACAACUUAGCAUCGUACGUUGCCCGAGAAGGGGUACGAUGCGGCUUCAUACCCUUAGAGGUAUGAAGGCAGAGGACAUAUGCAUUGCAUUCAUAUGCAUUCAUUGAAGUGAUAUUUGCAGAUGAUGUGGUUUUAUACCCCCAGAGGUAUGAAGAUAGAGUACCUACGCAUUGCAUUCAUAUGCAUUCAUUGAAGUGAUAUUUGCAGAUGAUGUGGUUUUAUACCCCCAGAGGUAUGAAGAUAGAGUACCUACACAUUGCAUUCCUAUGCAUACAUUGAAGUGAUAUUUGCAGGUAUUGUUGACGCAGGGAAGUGUUAUAGAACCUAUUGUGGUUGUUCGAGGAAAUGAGAUGGUAUUGGUUAUAGUGGGACUACUGUGUUCUAUAUCUACAAGUAUUUCUGAUUUUUUAUUGUGUCUCUUUUAAAAUGUUGAUGAAUUCAAUUUGUGGUUUAAAUAUCUCAUCAGAACAAUUAGCUUGCUGAGAUGUUUCAUCUCACUCUUGCAUUACUCAAUGCAGGUGGUUGUUGCUCAUCAAGGGGAGUGGGAAGUAGCAGCACAUCCACCUUCACUCUCAUAAUAAUGCUGCCCAGACACAGCCAUGAUUUAAUUAGAAACUUCUUGUCAAAGGAUGUUUGUUUUUAACUAGUCGUGCGCACUGAUUAAUUCAGUUCAUUGUUGUUAUGGUUGUCUUCCCAUUGCUAGUAGAUUAUUAAUGUCUUAUAUGUUUUCUUAUCAUGAUAUCUAUUUAUACUUUGUUGCUUCCCCCGUUUAUGCAAUUUUCAAAGGAGAUGCUGUCGAAAUUUUAUAUAUGAAUGUUAGAUGUGUAGUUUAGUAGCAUUCUGGGGUGUUUGUGGAUCCCGGGGUGUUACAUUAAGACAUGAGUGUCGGAGUUCAUAUAUUAGUGGUCGCGCCACGUUGAUUGAAGUGUCUCGAGUACACGCCACCAUAUGACUAUAUGUGAGACACGGUAAAAUAAAGUGUGCUCGACAUGAAUGUUUGGUCGUUGUAGGUAGAAAUUAUUUUAGCUUAUAUAGAGAGGUUGUGACAUGCCAAGGUAGUCGUCGCUUUCUCUAUAUUUAUAAGGCGAGUCGUGACGAUGCGUAUUGUGCGUUUAAUAAAUUAGGCUUCGCAUAUAGUGUAUGAUUGUGUUCACGAUUUCGAGUAGACGCUUCAAGUAAGUCAAGUAGAUAUAAGUGUGUAAUGGAGUUAGUUGUCUUAGGAUAAGUAUUGAAAUACUCGGUUCGUAUAAUAAAUAUGUAUGCGUUCGUAAUUCGGGAAGUAAAUGCAUGGUGAUUUCGAUUUGGAGAUUAGUGAUUUACGAUUCGUAUGCUUUGGUCGGUGUGCGAAAAUACUUGUGAAUAUGUAUGGUUAUAAAAAUGUUGUGGUGUAUGUUGUGCCUUAGAUAGUGAUAAUAAUAGGCAAGCCGACGUGUAUGUUAUUUAGCGGGCUAUGCCGUUGCUCUAGUUAGCCGAAGUGUUAGAUGGGUUGGUUAAGCUCGUAAUCACGAUGAUUUGCUUGUUGUAGUCUAAAUGUGUAUGGUUACGGUCGCAGGUAAAAAUUAGUAGUUUUCAUGUGAUGCCCAAGUUAAAAUGCAAAUUACUAUGUGAAGAGCGCAUCGAUAUAUAUGUAUGUCGGAUUUGAUGAUUAUGGUGAUUGCGUUGAUUAAUUGUGUAUGGUAGUUCUAGAGCGCGAAAUAACUUGUAUAAAAAUUAGUAAGUCUACUUGUUAGUUCUCACUUGGUCAUUUUAACUCUAACAAUUGUCAAAGUGUUAGAAUAAUUCAAGUAUCUAGAACGCGGCAAUUCUUGAAUUGUAUAGGAGC